rnacentral:rRNA from 1 species
UACGUAGGGGGGCAAGCGUUGUCCGGAUUUAUUGGGCGUAAAGAGCUCGUAGGCGGUUUGGUAAGUCUGGUGUGAAAUCUCCACGCUCAACGUGGAGGGGCCACCCGAUACUGCCAUGACUGGAGUCCGGUAGAGGAGUGUGGAAUUCCCGGUGUAGCGGUGAAAUGCGCAGAUAUCGGGAGGAACACCCGUAGCGAAGGCGGCACUCUGGGCCGGUACUGACGCUGAGGAGCGAAAAGCGUGGGGAGCAAACAGGG